UACGUAGGGUGCGAGCGUUGUCCGGAAUUAUUGGGCGUAAAGGGCUCGUAGGCGGUUUGUCGCGUCGGGAGUGAAAACCAUGGGCUUAACUCAUGGCUUGCUUCCGAUACGGGCAGACUAGAGGUAUGCAGGGGAGAACGGAAUUCCUGGUGUAGCGGUGAAAUGCGCAGAUAUCAGGAGGAACACCGGUGGCGAAGGCGGUUCUCUGGGCAUUACCUGACGCUGAGGAGCGAAAGCGUGGGGAACGAACAGG
rnacentral:rRNA from 1 species